GGCUGUGCAGGAUGCAGUGUGGCUGUGCAGGUUUCAAUGUAGCUGUGCAGGUUUCAGUGUAGCUGUGCAGGAUGCAGUGCCUCCAUGCAGCCCCCUGAGCAGCAGCUCCCGCGUGCCUCUCUCCUCCAGAAGGGAUAAUCCAAACCCGGACAGCACCCAACAGAUGUUCCUUCUCCGUAUGGGAAAACGCCGAGUGAAACAAAGAAAUAUUCUCCCGCUGAAGUCCAACAUCUGUUUGAAGCCGUCUGGCUCUGGUCCAGACUUUAAUUCUUGUGACAGGUCUCUUCAUGCCUUUAAUUUCCC
rnacentral:lncRNA from 1 species